rnacentral:rRNA from 1 species
GCGCAAGCGAAUUAAGGGCGCAUGGGGGAUACCUAGGCUCUCAGAGGCGAUGAAGGACGUGAUAAGCUGCGAAAAGCUACGGGGACAGGCACAUACUGGUUGAUCCGUAGAUAUCCGAAUGGGGCAACCCAGUACCAUGAAGUGGUAUUACCCUACGGGGGGCAAACGCGGGGAACUGAAACAUCUAAGUACCCGCAGGAGAAGAAAACAAUAGUGAUUCCGCAAGUAGUGGCGAGCGAACGCGGACAAGCCCAAACCAGCCUGGUUACGGCCAGACUGGGGUUGUAGGACUCACCUAGUGUUUAACAAUUGAACUGGAAUGGCAUGGGAAGGCCAAUCGAAGAGGGUGAGAAUCCCGUACAGGUAAGAGCGUUAAAUGAGUGAGUAUCCUGAGUAAGUGGGGACCGGAGAAAUCCCCUCUGAAUCCGGCGGCACCAUCCGCCAAGGCUAAAUACUCCUGAGAGACCGAUAGUGAACUAGUACCGUGAGGGAAAGGUGAAAAGUACCGCGAGCAGCGGGGUGAAAUAGAACUUGAAACCAUGCGCUUACAAGCGGACGGAGCCUACGGGUGACGUCGUGCCUUUUGCAUAAUGAGCCUACGAGUUACGGUCACUGGCAAGGUUAAUGUAUUAAAGUACAGGAGCCGAAGCGAAAGCGAGUCUGAAAUGGGCGAUUAGUCAGUGGCUGUAGACGCGAAACUUGGUGAUCUACCCUUGGUCAGGUUGAAGCGCUGGUAACACAUCGUGGAGGACCGAACCGGUAAACGUUGAAAAGUUUUCGGAUGAACUGAGGGUAGGGGUGAAAGGCCAAUCAAACUGAGAAAUAGCUCGUACUCCCCGAAAUGUUUUUAGGAACAGCGUCGUGGUUGAGUCAUGUUCAGGUAGAGCUACUGAUAGGACUAGGGGGAGUCAAAUCCUACCAAAUUCUGACAAACUCCGAAUGGGGCAUGAUAUACACGGCAGUGAGGGCUGGGGUGCUAAGGUCCCAGUCCGAGAGGGGAACAACCCAGAGCAUCAGCUAAGGUCCCAAAAUAUAUGCUAAGUUGAACUAAGGGGG